GCGUAAAGCGCGCGCAGGUGGCUAUGUAAGUCUGAUGUUAAAGCCCGAGGCUCAACCUCGGUUCGCAUUGGAAACUGUGUAGCUUGAGUGCAGGAGAGGAAAGUGGUAUUCCACGUGUAGCGGUGAAAUGCGUAGAGAUGUGGAGGAACACCAGUGGCGAAGGCGACUUUCUGGCCUGUAACUGACACUGAGGCGCGAAAGCGUGGGGAGCAAACAGGAUUAGAUACC
rnacentral:rRNA from 1 species